rnacentral:rRNA from 1 species
UACGUAGGGGGCGAGCGUUGUCCGGAAUCAUUGGGCGUAAAGCGCGUGUAGGCGGUCCGGUAAGUCCGCUGUGAAAGUCCAGGGCUCAACCCUGGGAUGCCGGUGGAUACUGUCGGGCUCGAGUCCGGAAGAGGCGAGUGGAAUUCCUGGUGUAGCGGUGAAAUGCGCAGAUAUCAGGAGGAACACCAAUGGCGAAGGCAGCUCGCUGGGACGUGACUGACGCUGAGACGCGAAAGCGUGGGGAGCAAACAGG